rnacentral:rRNA from 1 species
UUCGCCCUUAGAGUUUGAUCUCUGGCUCAGGACGAACGCUGGCGGCGUGCUUAACACAUGCAAGUCGAGCGAAGUGCUUAGAACAGAACUCUUCGGAGUGAAGAUUUAAGUAUCUUAGCGGCGGAUGGGUGAGUAACGCGUGAGAAACCUGCCAUUCACAAGAGGAUAGCCUCAGGAAACUGGGAUUAAUACUCUAUGAUACUGAAAAAUCGCAUGAUAUAUUGGUUAAAGCGUAAAGCGGUGAAUGAUGGUCUCGCGUCCCAUUAGCUAGUUGGUGAGAUAAAAGCUCACCAAGGCAACGAUGGGUAACCGGCUUGAGAGAGUGAACGGUCACACUGGAACUGAGAACGGUCCAGACUCCUACGGGAGGCAGCAGUGGGGUAUAUUGCACAAUGGAGGAAACUCUGAUGCAGCGACGCCGCGUGAACGAUGAAGGCCUUCGGGUCGUAAAGUUCUGUCCUUGGGGACGAUAAUGACGGUACCCAAGGAGGAAGCCCCGGCUAACUACGUGCCAGCAGCCGCGGUAAUACGUAGGGGGCAAGCGUUGUCCGGAUUUAUUGGGCGUAAAGGGUACGCAGGCGGCCAUAUAAGUCAGGUGUGAAAUCCUAUAGCUUAACUAUAGUAAGCACUUGAAACUGUGUGGCUUGAGUCAAGGAGAGGAAAGUGGAAUUCCUAGUGUAGCGGUGAAAUGCGUAGAUAUUAGGAGGAACACCAGUGGCGAAGGCGACUUUCUGGACUUGUACUGACGCUGAGGUACGAAAGCGUGGGGAGCAAACAGGAUUAGAUACCCUGGUAGUCCACGCCGUAAACGAAUGAGUGCUAGGUGUCGGGGGUCAAACCUCGGUGCCGCCGUUAACACAUUAAGCACUCCGCCUGGGGAGUACGUUCGCAAGAAAUGAAACUCAAAGGAAUUGACGGGGGACCCGCACAAGCAGCGGAGCAUGUGGUUUAAUUCGAUGCAACGCGAAGAACCUUACCAGGGCUUGACAUCCCUCUGACCGAUAUAGAGAUAUAUCUUUCCCUUCGGGGACAGAGGUGACAGGUGGUGCAUGGUUGUCGUCAGCUCGUGUCGUGAGAUGUUGGGUUAAGUCCCGCAACGAGCGCAACCCCUAUCUUUAGUUACAAACAGUUCGGCUGUGGACUCUAGAGAGACUGCCGAUGAUAAAUCGGAGGAAGGUGGGGAUGACGUCAAAUCAUCAUGCCCUUUAUGUCCUGGGCUACACACGUGCUACAAUGGUUGGCACAGAGGGCAGCGACUUAGCGAUAAGAAGCUAAUCCCUUAAAGCCAAUCCCAGUUCGGAUUGCAGGCUGCAACUCGCCUGCAUGAAGUCGGAGUUGCUAGUAAUCGCAGAUCAGAAUGCUGCGGUGAAUGCGAUCCCGGGUCUUGCACACACCGCCCGUCA